GAUGAACGCUGGCGGCGUGCCUAAUACAUGCAAGUCGAGCGAACAGAUGAGGAGCUUGCUCCUCUGACGUUAGCGGCGGACGGGUGAGUAACACGUGGAUAACCUACCUAUAAGACUGGGAUAACUUCGGGAAACCGGAGCUAAUACCGGAUAAUAUAUUGAACCGCAUGGUUCAAUAGUGAAAGACGGUUUUGCUGUCACUUAUAGAUGGAUCCGCGCGGCAUUAGCUAGUUGGUAAGGUAACGGCUUACCAAGGCAACGAUGCUUAGCCGACCUGAGAGGGUGAUCGGCCACACUGGAACUGAGACACGGUCCAGACUCCUACGGGAGGCAGCAGUAGGGAAUCUUCCGCAAUGGGCGAAAGCCUGACGGAGCAACGCCGCGUGAGUGAUGAAGGUCUUCGGAUCGUAAAACUCUGUUAUUAGGGAAGAACAAAUGUGUAAGUAACUAUGCACGUCUUAACGGUACCUAAUCAGAAAGCCACGGCUAACUACGUG
rnacentral:rRNA from 1 species